CCCUUAGAUGUUCUGGGCCGCACGCGCGCUACACUGAUCGAUUCAACGAGUUUUAUAAUAUUUUUGUUAAAAAUUUAUAUAUCCUUUGUCGGAAGGCAUGGGUAAUCUUUUAAAUGUCGAUCGUGAUGGGGCUAGAUUCUUGCAAUUAUUAAUCUCCAACGAGGAAUUCCUAGUAAACGCAAGUCAUCAGCUUGCAUUGAUUACGUCCCUGCCCUUUGUACACACCGCCCGUCGCUCCUACCGAUUGAAUGAUCCGAUGAAUAUCAUGGAUUGAGGAUUAUAGCAGGUUCGCCUGUCUUGAUCUUCGAGAAGUGAAGUAAAUCUUAUCAUUUAGAGGAAGGAGAAGUCGUAACA
rnacentral:rRNA from 1 species